CUCUGGAGAGACUGCCGGUGUUAAACCGGAGGAAGGUGGGGAUGACGUCAAGUCCUCAUGGCCUUUAUGCCUAGGGCUGCACACGUCCUACAAUGCAACGCACAAAGUGACGCUAACUCGCGAGAGUACGCAAACCACAUAAAUCGUUGCUCAGUUCGGAUUGCAGGCUGAAAUUCGCCUGCAUGAAGCCGGAAUCGCUAGUAAUCGUAGGUCAGCAUACUACGGUGAAUGUGUUCCUGAGCCUU
rnacentral:rRNA from 1 species